UCAAUCCUCUUCACUAACUACUAGGCUCCAUCCCUGGGUGAUCUUCUUUUUCUUUUCUUUCUUUUGAUCUGUAGUGUAAUUCAGCAAGAGAGAUCUCAUGAUCUUCUUUUUCUUUUCUUUCUUUUAUCUGCAGUUAGGGAUGGCAAUCGGGCGGUACGGGUGCGGUGUGGUACGAGUUUUAAGCUAUGCGGGGCGGUGCGGAUUUUAAGCUAUACGGCGAGGUGCGGGUGCGGAUGCGGGGCUGGUUAAAGUAAUUUUUUUUUUAAAUGGUGCGGUGCAGUGUUGGUUGCAGGUAUAUGCGGGUUUAAAUUUAAAAAAUUAAAAAUUAAUAUUAUUCUCGUGAAUAUACCUAAAAUUAUAUGUAUUUUUUACUUAAAAUUUUAUGAUACUUAAAAUGACAUAUAUAACACUAUAAAUAAAUAAUUUUAUAAUUUUUUUAAUAUCUCUAUUCAUUUUUAAAAAAAAUGAUAUUUGAUUAUUACUUGUACACGUGAUACUUUUUGACAAUUUCUUAGUGAAAAAUGAUAUAAUAGAAACUAAUUGUUAUUAUUUCCUAGUUAUAGAUUUGAAAAUAUUAUGAUUUUCAAAGGAGUUAUGAAUUUUUCAAAAAAAUAAAAAAAAUAAAAUAUGGGGCGGCGUGGUGCGGGUAUGAGUGUGGGGCGGGUUUAUGCCGAUUUAAAGGAGAUGUAUUGCGAUGCGGUUUUAAAAUUUGCGGGUUUAGAAAUAAUUCGGCAAGAGAGAUCUCACGAGAGGGGAGAAUAUUAUCAUUUGCAGAAAACUAAACUUAUUGGAACUGUGUAUUUUCUAGGUACUAUCAGUAGUGCAUAACUAGUCCAUGGAGGUCUUUUUACUCUUUAAUAACGUGAAGAGCUUUGGCCCUCAAACAACUUGAUUUGUCUAUAUAAUUCCGGUAAAACAUUGAAUUUAGUUACUCACUAUCUUUAGCUACGACUGCCAAAUCCUUAUAAAAGAAUUUUAUAAUCUUAUCAAAUAGAGAUGACUGCCAAAUAGUGUCUCUGUCAUGAGUGCUACCAUAUGUAGUUAUAACUGUACUCACAUGCUGAUUAAAGAUCAAACACUGUGGGUAGUAGUAGUAGUACAAUUCAAAAAAGGGAGGUACUGCGUGCCCUGAUGGGGCAGGAGAGGGUGAGUACUGUGAUUUGUAGUCCACAGAUUGCUCAAGUUGUUAGGAGCUUUGUGUUCUUUAGGUUCUAAGCAUCAACUUCAUAAUACUUUGUGCCUUCAACUGAAGCUGUUGCAGCUCUUGGGAAAAUAGUCAAUAAAACAAGUUAAUAUUCUUCCCUGCAACAGCCAACAGACUGGUGAACUGUCAGCUUACUUUGAUGUUUAUGCCUUCAUUUUUUAAUGGUAGUAGCCCGUCUCCAUCUGGGACUUUUUGGUGCUUGGAUGUUUAGAACUGAAUAUUGGUAAAAACUUUUAUCUACUGUCAUUCUUACUGCUUUUCUAGUAUGACUUGUUUAUGCUUGAUAAAAGAAAGCUGCUUGUUUACAUUAGGCUUGGUGAAUAGCGAAACUAUAUCUUACCCCCUGCAUCUGCCAGUUGAGUACGAGGUGGGAAUUGUUUAGGGAUAUGUACUUGUAUGUACUCUCAUAGCUGGAUAUGGUCAAACUAGUGCAAGUGAAAUUUUUGACAAGGUUCUUGGUACAAGUUGAAUAACAUGCUGCUGCUGCUCGGAGAUCAUAAACUCCUGACUGGCCUACGUUGUUAGUUGAACACACAUAAUUGGAUGAUUUUAUGGUUAUUUUAUACCCUCACUGGAACAGUAAACUUAAAAGCAAUAGUGUCAAGUGUAAUCUUAUCAUUUGGCUCAGCACUACUUGCAGAAUUGGAUGAUCGCAGUUUCAGGUGGAGAAGGAACGGUUGCCAGAAGUUUGAAGGAUAGAUGAUUACAGAAAAUUCUCUACCUGCUAUUUUACCAGAUCGAUAAUGUAGUGUAACUGGUAGAGGAAGUGUUGAUGGAAGUGUGGCCUAAUGGUUAAUGGAAGUGGUUGAGGAUCAUGAGACCUUAGGUUCAAAUUGCAGCAGAAACAAAAAUAGUGGAUGAUUUUUUUUUCAUCUGCCCUAGCCGUGGUGGAUUACUUGAUACCUGUUGCUACCUCUGCUGCUGGUGAGAGGUGGGAGGUGGGAGGUGGCUGGUGGAUUUAGUCAACCUUGGUGGAAUAUUAAAAUCUAGUUUGUAGCUUGAGGGUUAGAAUCUUAUUUUUUAAAAUAUGGCAAUGUACUGUACUGGUAAGUAUGACCUUGAUUUUUGGUAGAAUACAUUGGGCAGACCCCUCAUCAUGACACCAUUUUU